rnacentral:rRNA from 1 species
AUUGAACGCUGGCGGCAGGCCUAACACAUGCAAGUCGAGCGGAUGACGGGAGCUUGCUCCUUGAUUCAGCGGCGGACGGGUGAGUAAUGCCUAGGAAUCUGCCUGGUAGUGGGGGACAACGUCUCGAAAGGAACGCUAAUACCGCAUACGUCCUACGGGAGACAGCAGGGGACCUUCGGGCCUUGCGCUAUCAGAUGAGCCUAGGUCGGAUUAGCGAGUAGGUGAGGUAAUGGCUCACCUAGGCGACGAUCCGUAACUGGUCUGAGAGGAUGAUCAGUCACACUGGAACUGAGACACGGUCCAGACUCCUACGGGAGGCAGCAGUGGGGAAUAUUGGACAAUGGGCGAAAGCCUGAUCCAGCCAUGCCGCGUGUGUGAAGAAGGUCUUCGGAUUGUAAAGCACUUUAAGUUGGGAGGAAGGGCAGUAAGCUAAUACCUUGCUGUUUUGACGAUACCGACAGAAUAAGCACCGGCUAACUCUGUGCCAGCCGCCGCAGUAAUAC